rnacentral:rRNA from 1 species
GACGAACGCUGGCGGCGUGCUUAACACAUGCAAGUCGAACGGAAAGGCCCUGCUUUUGUGGGGUGCUCGAGUGGCGAACGGGUGAGUAACACGUGAGUAAACUGCCCUUGACUUUGGGAUAACUUCAGGAAACUGGGGCUAAUACCGGAUAGGAGCUCCUGCUGCAUGGUGGGGGUUGGAAAGUUUCGGCGGUUGGGGAUGGACUCGCGGCUUAUCAGCUUGUUGGUGGGGUAGUGGCUUACCAAGGCUUUGACGGGUAGCCGGCCUGAGAGGGUGACCGGCCACAUUGGGCCUGCGAUACGGCCCAGACUCCUACGGGAGGCAGCAGUCGGGAAUAUUGCACAAUGGGCGGAAGCCUGAUGCAGCAACUCCGCGUGCGGGAUGACGGCCUUCGGGUUGUAAACCGCUUUCGCCUGUGACGAAGCGUGAGUGACGGUAAUGGGUAAAGAAGCACCGGCUAACUACGUG